rnacentral:tRNA from 3 species
UGGAGCAGCUUGGUAGCUCGUCGGGCUCAUAACCCGAAGGUCGUCGGUUCAAAUCCGGC